rnacentral:lncRNA from 1 species
CUGUUUUUAUAAGAAUGCUAAGGAGCUGAAGCUGAGACCUAAAAGCUAAGCAGGAGUGCUCUGGGCAGAGGGAAUGAUGAACACAUUGAGUUUCUGUGAUGGCCUGGUAGCCUUUGGACAUCAGACUUGUCUGUUUUCUGCUCUAGAAUUGGCCUGCUCUGUGACUUCAGAUGUUCUUUCUGCUGGCUUUGAUGAAGAAAGCUGCCAUGCUGAAGAGGCUCAUGUAACAAGGAACUGAGAGUGGCCUCCAGGCAACAGCCAGCAAAGAACUGAAGCUCUCCACCCAACAGCCCUUGAGGAAUGGUAUCCUGCCUUCAGGCGAGACUCUAGCACUUCAUUGCACACAGCCAUGUCAGAG